AUACUUACCUGCACGAGGUCGACGUCGACGUCGACGGGUGAUGAAGAAGGCCCAUGGCCUAGGUUAGUGGCCUCUAUUGCACUUGGGAUGAGCGCUCGACUAAGAUCUUCCCAAGCGGUGGACUCUACGUCAUAAUUUGUGAUAGUUGGGGCACGCAUUCGCGCGGCCUUCCA
rnacentral:snRNA from 1 species